rnacentral:rRNA from 1 species
UGUAUCGGAACGUGCCCAGUAGCGGGGGAUAACUACGCGAAAGCGUAGCUAAUACCGCAUACGCCCUACGGGGGAAAGCAGGGGAUCGUAAGACCUUGCACUAUUGGAGCGGCCGAUAUCGGAUUAGCUAGUUGGUGGGGUAACGGCUCACCAAGGCGACGAUCCGUAGCUGGUUUGAGAGGACGACCAGCCACACUGGGACUGAGACACGGCCCAGACUCCUACGGGAGGCAGCAGUGGGGAAUUUUGGACAAUGGGGGAAACCCUGAUCCAGCCAUCCCGCGUGUGCGAUGAAGGCCUUCGGGUUGUAAAGCACUUUUGGUGGGAACGAAACGGUCCGGGCCAAUACCCUGGACUAAUGACGGUACCUGCAGAAUAAGCACCGGCUAACUACGUG